rnacentral:lncRNA from 1 species
GCGGCUUCCUGUUUCCGGCGGUGGGAAAUGGCUGACUCCCACAAGACCGGACCCCAGCCGUGCCGAUAUUUCAGGGCUGAUGUGGGAGUAAUUAGCCCUGGCAGCCUCCCCACGGGGAGGACUGUCUCAAAGACCUGCGGAUUGUCCAAGAUUGCCGGUGUGCAUUAAGGUGCAGCUGGCAGGACACUGGGUCAAAGAGCACGGUCACGGCGGGCACUCUCCGAUGUCACUCCCAUAGCCGGGAGCAUCUGUUUGGGACAAGAAAUAGAUUUGAAAAACAAACAGGCAUGGUUUGAACCGAAGCAGCUGGGGGGAAAAACCCUGCAGAAUGUACAGUCUCUGGUGUAUGAGCUCGGACUUCAAAGAGAUUCUUAUCAUGGUGUGUGGAUUGCGGAGGUCUUUGGUAUGUUUCUUCUUCUUCUUCUUCUUCCUUAAUAUCAACAAUUGGUUCCUCAUGCCAAACCUCAUUAAGAACUUAAAUUGCUUUUUUAAAACAAUGAAUGCAGAUGGACUUUUAUUUACAAUUGGGACUCAUGCGCAACUUUUUUUUUUUAAGACUUGGAAUGCUUGUUAAAGACAGGAGAACAAAAGAUAAAAUGGCGCUCCCAUACUACGCAGUUCCAGAAAAUUUGAAAUCCUCCCCUUAUUAAGAGAAACAGGAAUUUAUUGCUGGUUGACUGCAAUGGUUUGAGACAAUAUUUUGGACAAUAUACAGUGCAGUUGUUUGCAAAAGAUUUCUUCCAUUAUGAGCGAGAGAAAAGGCUAAAUGGAUGUCUAGCAGCCCCCCUCUAGGGCCCGGAGGGGGGACUGGGUGGUUUCCAGGAAGGCUGAUGGAUCGCCAAAUGACUGAUAUAUUGCAAUACAGCAAACAGUUUGCCUAAUAACUACAAAGAGCAAUUCAAUAAGGUGGAAGAUACUGUAUUUCUAAAUCUUAAAAGGAAGGUUUCGACAACAGCUGGACGGGAAAGUUUAAUGAUUUGGGAGCUGCAAAGAUAUUAAACUUCAGAGAGCUGGAUAAUAGCCUGGAUUGGAAUGGAGCCAGAUGAAGCAGCACUAAUAAAAAAAUAGUUGAAAAGGUACAUUACACAAACAAAUCUGUACUCGACGGACGAAAAGUUAUCUGUUUUCUGACAUGAUUGAGGAUCGCAAAGCCAGAGACAAAGAAGUUUGGAAAAAUAAAAUCGAGAUGUGGAAAUAUGGAAAUACCAACAAGAGGCAGACUGAGAUUUGGACAUGCUUCAAGGUUCAGACUAUGGGAAGCCAUAAAAUCAAAAAUUACAAUUCGGAAGAUAAUUUGACCUUUUUAAUUUAAUUUUUUAUUUUUAUUGGAUUAUGAUUUGAUAUGUUAAUUGGAUGUCUUUUAUUGGAAAAUUAAUAAACGCUCUAACAAAAAAAAAAAGUGUUGAGGAAUUUGCAGCGGGGCCCCAGAUGGUGACAGGAAUAUGUGGGGAGGGCCAGAUGGACGCAGGUGCUGCCUAAAGCGCCCAGGUUCCAUGCUGUGAAUGCCACUAAAGGCACAGAACCUUAAACGGGUACCUGGAAUAAAGGUCGCUGGAGACUCUGGUUGUAUUUUAUGCUAUGUAUAGCUUUAUUUGCACAAAGGUACAACCUAGGCAUAAGAUGGAAGGGCUUACAGCUGUAAAGACUUUUCGCCAGGGAGAGACAUGUUAUUUUGCUGUGAGUGAGCAUUUUCCUUCCUCCUGUUGGGCUCUUCCUGUGUUCUUAUCAGCAAGGGACCAUGGUUUCCAGACAGUCAUCCAUCAGGCACUGAUCAGACCCAGAACUGAAGGAGCAUCUCCACCCCCAUCAUCCAGACCAGACACUGAGGUCCAGCUCUCAGGUCCUUCUGGCAGUUCUCUCACUGUGAGAAGCGAGGUUACAGGGAAUCAGGCAGAGGGCCUUCUCGGUAGUGGCGCCUGCCUUGUCGAACGGCCUCCCACCAGAUGUCAAGGAAAUAAACAACUAUCUGACUUUCAGAAGACAUCUGAAGGCAGCCCUGUUUAGGGAAGUUUUUAAUGUUUGAUGUUUUUAAUACUCUGUUGGGAGCUGCCCAGAGUGGCUGGGGAAACCUAGUCAGAUUGGCGGGGUAUAAAUAUUAUUAUUAUUAUUAUUAUUACUGCUUAGCAGGGGGUUAACCAGGCUGGGAUAGCUGGGAUAGCAGGCUUGUUGGUUUUUGAAUGUCUGGUGUAGAUUUUGGUGUUCUGUAUGGGACAAUGACAAUAAAGAUUAUCGUAUCGUAUCGUAUCGGAGAGCAGCUUCUGCUCCCACUCUGGAGCCUUGUUUGUGUCUGCUUCUACCCCUUUAAAGGCUAGCAAAGGCUACAGAAGAUGGCCAUUUUAUUCACACGGAUCCUGGGCUGCUCUGACCCACAACUGGGCAGAGGUGCAAUGAUAGAAGAUUCACAUGCCACUUUUCAGCCAAGGUCCUCGAAGUAGCUUACAACAGGGAUUCUCAAACUCUUCCCUCCCCCUCGCACUCCAUAGCCACUUGGAAAU